GACGAACGCUGGCGGCGUGCCUAAUACAUGCAAGUCGGGCGGAUCGGCGGACGGGUGAGUAAUGGCUAGGAAUGUGCCUGGUAGUGGGGGAUAAAGUUCGGAAAUGGGCGCUAAUACCGCAUCCUAUCCGAUGAGGAUGGGUCGGAUUAGCUAGUUGGUGGGGUAACGGCGUACCAAGGCGACGAUCCGUAACUGGUAUGAGAGGAUGAUCAGUCACACUGGAACUGAGACACGGUCCAGACUCCUACGGGAGGCAGCAGUGGGGAAUAUUGGACAAUGGGCGAAAGCCUGAUCCAGCCAUGCCGCGUGUGUGAAGAAGGUCUUCGGAUUGUAAAGCACUUUAAGUUGGGAGGCGUUACCAACAGAAUAAGCACCGGCUAACUUCGUGCCAGCAGCCGCGGUAAUAC
rnacentral:rRNA from 1 species